rnacentral:misc_RNA from 1 species
GAAAUGCGAUAAUUAAUGUGAAUUGCAGAAUUCAGUGAAUCAUCGAGUCUUUGAACGCACAUUGCACCCCCUGGUAUUCCGGGGGGUAUGCCUGUCCGAGCGUCAUUGCUGCCCUCAAGCACGGCUUGUGUGUUGGGUCGUCGUCCCCCCGGGGACGGGCCCGAAAGGCAGCGGCGGCACCGCGUCCGGUCCUCGAGCGUAUGGGGCUUUGUCACCCGCUCUUGUAGGCCCGGCCGGCGCUGGCCGACGCUGAAAAGCAACCAACUAUUUCUCCAGGUUGACCUCGGAUCAGGUAGGGAUACCCGCUGAACUUAA